GGGCCAGUGGUGCAAUGGAUAACAUGUCUGACUAUUGAUCAGAAGAUUCUAGGUUCAACUCCUGGCUGACUUG
rnacentral:tRNA from 1 species